rnacentral:rRNA from 1 species
CCUACGGGGUGCAGCAGUGAGGAAUAUUGGUCAAUGGGCGGAAGCCUGAACCAGCCACGUAGCGUGCAGGAUGACGGCCCUACGGUUUGUAAACUGCUUUUGUACGGGAAUAACGCGCCUUACGUGUUGGGCUUUGCAUGUACCGUAUGAAUAAGGACCGGCUAAUUCCGUGCCAGCAGCCGCGGUAAUACGGAAGGUACGGGCGUUAUCCGGAUUUAUUGGGUUUAAAGGGAGCGUAGGCCGCAUGACAAGCGUACUGUGAAAUGUCCGGGCUCAACCCGGGCCUUGCAGCGCGAACUGGCGUGCGUGAGUCCGCGGAAGGCAGGCGGAAUUCGUCGUGUAGCGGUGAAAGGCUUAGAGAUGACGAAGAACCCCGGUGGCGAAGGCAGCUUGUUGCAGCGGAACUGACGCUGAGGCGCGAAAGCGCGGGUAGCGAACAGGAUUAGAUACCCUAGUAGUC